rnacentral:rRNA from 1 species
AGAGCGAACGCUGGCGGCAGGCCUAAUACAUGCAAGUCGAACGCACCUUCGGGUGAGUGGCGGACGGGUGAGUAACACGUGGGAACGUGCCUUUUGGUUCGGAAUAAUCCAGGGAAACCUGGCCUAAUACCGGAUGUGCCCCCUCCUUUAACCAGGGGGGUGGGAAAGAUUUAUCGCCAAUAGAGCGGCCCGCGUCUGAUUAGCUAGUUGGUGGGGUAAAGGCCCACCAAGGCGACGAUCAGUAGCUGGUCUGAGAGGAUGAUCAGCCACACUGGGACUGAGACACGGCCCAGACUCCUACGGGAGGCAGCAGUAGGGAAUCUUGCGCAAUGGGCGAAAGCCUGACGCAGCCAUGCCGCGUGAAUGAUGAAGGUCUUAGGAUUGUAAAAUUCUUUCAGCGGGAAGAUAAUGACUGUACCCGCAGAAGAAGCUCCGGCUAACUUCGCGCCAGCAGCCGC